AUUGAACGCUGGCGGCAUGCCUUACACAUGCAAGUCGAACGGCAGCACGGGAGCAAUCCUGGUGGCGAGUGGCGAACGGGUGAGUAAAGUAUCGGAACGUGCCCAGUCGUGGGGGAUAACGUAGCGAAAGUUACGCUAAUACCGCAUACGAUCUAUGGAUGAAAGCGGGGGGUCGCAAGACCUCGCGCGAUUGGAGCGGCCGAUGUCAGAUUAGGUAGUUGGUGGGGUAAAGGCUCACCAAGCCGACGAUCUGUAGCUGGUCUGAGAGGACGACCAGCCACACUGGGACUGAGACACGGCCCAGACUCCUACGGGAGGCAGCAGUGGGGAAUUUUGGACAAUGGGCGAAAGCCUGAUCCAGCCAUGCCGCGUGCAGGACGAAGGCCUUCGGGUUGUAAACUGCUUUUGUACGGAACGAAAAGGUUUGGCCUAAUAAGCUGAGCUCAUGACGGUACCGUAAGAAUAAGCACCGGCUAACUACGUGCCAGCCGCCGCGGUAAUAC
rnacentral:rRNA from 1 species